UCAGUUUCUUCUCAAAGAAGUUUGGAAGAAGUUGAUUUCAAUCCUCAUGGGUGACUUUGACGGAUUCAAGACUUCAGUGGAGGAAGUAACCUCAGAUGUGGUGGAAAGAGAGAGAGAACUGGAACUAGAAGUGGGGCCUGAGGAUGUGACUGAAUUGCUGCAAUCCUGUGAUCAACCUUGAAAGAAUGAGGAGUUGCUUCUUAUGAAUUAGCAAAGAAAGUGGUUUCUUGAGAUGGGAUUUACUCUUAGUGAAG